rnacentral:ncRNA from 1 species
AAUCUUUUGUAAACUCCCCGUAAACCGAGACCUCUAGGGAGUAUAAAUGCACGUCUCUAAUACCCACACUGGAGGGUGGUGUGGGAAUAUCAUAACCG